rnacentral:rRNA from 1 species
GUGGGGAAUCUUAGACAAUGGGGGCAACCCUGAUCUAGCCAUGCCGCGUGAGUGAUGAAGGCCUUAGGGUCGUAAAGCUCUUUCGCUGGGGAAGAUAAUGACGGUACCCAGUAAAGAAACCCCGGCUAACUCCGUGCCAGCAGCCGCGGUAAUACGGAGGGGGUUAGCGUUGUUCGGAAUUACUGGGCGUAAAGCGCGCGUAGGUGGAUUGGAAAGUUGGGGGUGAAAUCCCGGGGCUCAACCCUGGAAUGGCCUUCAAAACUCCCAGUCUUGAGGUCGAGAGAGGUGAGUGGAAUUCCGAGUGUAGAGGUGAAAUUCGUAGAUAUUCGGAGGAACACCAGUGGCGAAGGCGGCUCACUGGCUCGAUACUGACGCUGAGGUGCGAAAGCGUGGGGAGCAAACAGGAUUAGAUACCCCAGUAGUCC